CAGCCGCCGCGGUAAUACGUAGGUGGCAAGCGUUGUCCGGAUUUAUUGGGCGUAAAGGGAACGCAGGCGGUCCUUUAAGUCUGAUGUGAAAGCCUUCGGCUUAACCGAAGAAUUGCAUUGGAAACUGGAGGACUUGAGUGCAGAAGAGGAGAGUGGAACUCCAUGUGUAGCGGUGAAAUGCGUAGAUAUAUGGAAGAACACCAGUGGCGAAAGCGGCUCUCUGGUCUGUAACUGACGCUGAGGUUCGAAAGUGUGGGUAGCAAACAGGAUUAGAUACCCUGGUAGUCCACACCGUAAACGAUGAAUGCUAAGUGUUGGAGGGUUUCCGCCCUUCAGUGCUGCAGCUAACGCAAUAAGCAUUCCGCCUGGGGAGUACGACCGCAAGGUUGAAACUCAAAGGAAUUGACGGGGGCCCGCACAAGCGGUGGAGCAUGUGGUUUAAUUCGAAGCAACGCGAAGAACCUUACCAGGUCUUGACAUCUUUUGACCAUCUUAGAGAUAAGAUUUUCCCUUCGGGGACAAAAUGACAGGAGGUGCAUGGCC
rnacentral:rRNA from 1 species